rnacentral:rRNA from 1 species
CUAUUUAUGUCGGCGACCGGCGCACGGGUGAGUAACGCGUAUCCAACCUACCCAUAACUAAGGGAUAACCCAGCGAAAGUUGGACUAAUACCUUAUGUAUUCGUUUGACCUCAUGAGAUUACGAAUAAAGAUUUAUCGGUUAUGGAUGGGGAUGCGUCUGAUUAGCUUGUUGGCGGGGUAACGGCCCACCAAGGCAACGAUCAGUAGGGGGUUCUGAGAGGAAGGUCCCCCACAUUGGAACUGAGACACGGUCCAAACUCCUACGGGAGGCAGCAGAC